UCGAAUGUCCCCUUUCCUCUGUCUUCUGAGGCAGCUGCUCGCUCUGCAAGUAUUUUUGAAAAGACAGUUUGGAGCCAUGGGAUCCAUGCCAUGCUACAGGUCAUUUAGCAAGCUUAUACAAUCGUCCAAAUCACAUUUCAGAAACAUUCAAACCAAGGAAGCAAUAAAGGUGAUGUAUGAUCUACUGGCUCUAGAAAUAGUCAUUUUUUUCAAGAAAAUAUUAUUACUGCGCCCAUGAAGAUUGGCACCUGUUGAAGGGCCAGGCCAGGUGAAACCAGGAACCAAGAACUCCAUCAUGGUCUUCCAUGUGAGUGGCUGGAACCCAAGGAGUUCUGCUGCCUCCCAGUGCAUCAGCAGGAAGUUGGAUCAGAAGCGGAGCUCUCCUUCCAGUCUGGCUGCUCAGCCUCUGAUCCAGCUCCCUGCUGAUGCUACUGGGAAGGCGGAGGAAGAUGGCCCAGGUACACGGGCCCUGCCACCCAUGAGGGAGGCCAGCUGGAGUUCCUGGCUCCUGGCUUUGGCCCAGUGUAGUCUUGGGUCUUGAGGCCACUUGGGGAAGGAACCAGCAGAUAGAAGAUCCGUCUCCCUCCCCUUCUCUAAGUCUGCCUUUCAAAUAAAUGAAAUAAAUCUUGGGGGAAAAUAAAAAAGGAAAAGGAAACAGCUUUUGCCCUUGGAAUGAGAUCACCUCUGUAUCAC